rnacentral:tRNA from 1 species
GCCCGGGUGGUGGAAGUGGUAGACGCCAGGGAUUUAAAAUCCCUUGACCUUUAAGGUCGUGCCGGUUCAAGUCCGGCCCUGGGCA